CCGCCCGUCACACCAUGGGAGUUGGCUGCACCAGAAGCCGGUAGUCUAACCGCAAGGGAGGCAGCGGCCCAAGGUAUGACUCAUGAUUGGGGUG
rnacentral:rRNA from 1 species